AUGGUCCUGUUUCAGGAGAGAAGGAAGGCGAUCAGCUUCAGUAGAUUCACGGCAGUCUGGUGGAAGCUAUUUGGAUGCUGAGUGUUCACGGCAUAGAAGGGAUCGGAGUAGGAGCCCACAUAAAUGAAAAAGAAAUACAGAUAAAGAUAAAAAUUGGGACUCAAAAAGGAGGAAAGAGAGGGAUGGGGAAAGACAUCAUAGUCAUAAAAGAAGAAAGCAAAAAGUAUAAAUGAAGUAUUCAUGUAUGUGUUAAUUAUGCUGAUGCCAAGAUAACCAAUAUGCUGAUAUUUUCAUUAUAAUUGCUAUGAAUAGGGGAAAAUAGUGAUCUGUUUAGUGCUCAGAUCACUAUUUUUCAGUAAGUGCUUAUGUCUCAAACCAUGACUACACUGUUAUGCCCUAUAACUUUGUUUUCCAUAUAUUUUAAUAGAUGACUGCUUCCUGUUA